rnacentral:rRNA from 1 species
UACAGAGGGUGCAAGCGUUAAUCGGAAUUACUGGGCGUAAAGCGUGCGUAGACGGUUACAUAAGUCAGAUGUGAAAGCCCCGGGCUCAACCUGGGAAUUGCAUUUGAGACUGUGUAGCUAGGGUGCGGAAGAGGGAAGCGGAAUUUCCGGUGUAGCGGUGAAAUGCGUAGAUAUCGGAAGGAACACCAGUGGCGAAAGCGGCUUCCUGGUCCAGCACCGACGUUCAGGCGCGAAAGCGUGGGGAGCAAACAGG